rnacentral:rRNA from 1 species
GAUGAACGCUGGCGGCGUGCUUAACACAUGCAAGUCGAACGAAGUGCUUUUGAUCAAUCCCUUCGGGGUGCGAACUUAAGUAUCUUAGUGGCGGACGGGUGAGUAACGCGUGGGUAACCUGCCUCAUGCAGGGGAAUAGCUUCUGGAAACGGGAGGUAAUACCGCAUAAGACCUGAGGGUGAAAGCAUUUAUGCGCUAAAGGGUUGGCCCAUAUCAGAUUAGCUAGUUGGUUAGGUAAAAGCUGACCAAGGCGACGAUCUGUAGCUGGUUUGAGAGGAUGAUCAGCCACAUUGGGACUGAGACACGGCCCAAACUCCUACGGGAGGCAGCAGUUAGGAAUAUUGGACAAUGGGGGCAACCCUGAUCCAGCCAUGCCGCGUGAGUGAAGAAGGCCUUCGGGUUGUAAAGCUCUUUUGGAUGGGAAGAUGAUGACGGUACCAUCAGAAUAAGCACCGGCAAACUUCGUG